AUUGAAGUUAGACAUAAAGCUGGAGUAACUCAGUGGGACAGGCAGCGACUCUGGAGAGAAGACCCUUCUUCAGACUUACUGAACUUGGGGGUGAGAGUACUUGUGAUUGUCUGCAGAAGGGUCUCGAUCCGAAACGCCAUGCACUCCCUAGAGCCGCCGCCCAUCCCGCUGAGCCACCCCAGCCCCCCUCCGUGUCCACUUUCAACUCCAGAGCCAAACAAAAAACAGAGUGCUGGAGGAACUCAGCGGGCUCGGCGGCACCCUAGGUGUGUCUGUGUGUCUGUGUGCGUGUCGGAGUCUGAGGGGAGAAGCGCCGGAACCAAGAGAGCGUGAACGAGCGGACAGACGGUCGAAAGCAACGAUCAUAGAGCAGAAUAGGUGACAUUUCGGACGGAGGCUCUUCUUCAGACUGACAGUCAAGGGAAAGGGGAGAUAUUGGCAUAUCUUCCAUUCAUUUGUCCUUCGUACCUUCUAUGUCUCUUGUUCCUCUUUCCCCCGACUCAGUCUGAAGAACUGAAGAAGGGUCUCGACCCGAAAUGUCAUCUAUUCUGCUCUAUGAUCGUUGCUUUCGUCCGCCUGUCCGCUCGUUCGCUCUCCCUUGGAUUAAGUAGCGCAGGAUAAAGCUGCAAAUUCACGCACCGGAUGGAAACUAGGGGAACGCCGCCCCCCCUGCGUACCAUCACUGACUUUGCAGGUCGGGAAGCAUCUGUGCAUAGAAACAGGAAUCAGAAGCUAAGAAUUUGGCACAUACCGAGCCAAAUUGAUCCAGCUGACAGUCAAAUGUUCAAUGUGGCAAAGAACUAAGAGGGAGACUGAUGCACCACAUCCAAACCCUUAGCUUGAUGGCAAGAAGGACUGGCCUCCGACCAACAACCACCCUACUUGCUGACCUUGUGGAAAUUCAUGUCUAGAUUGGUGCUCAACUGCUGACAACGUUCUACCGCUGCACCACAGUGAGCAUAUUAACAUACGGCAUCUCUGUGUGGUAUCUCAGCUGCACGGAGGCGGAGAGGAGAGCUCUUCAGCGCGUCGUCCACAGAGCGCAGAGGAUCAUUGGGACACAGCUACCAGCCUUGGAGGGCAUCUACCACACACGGUGCCUCAGGAAGGCCGUCAGCAUCCAUAAAGACUACUCACACCCUUGUAACGGACUGUUUGAACUACUUCCCUCCGGCAGACGUUACAAGGCCUUCUACGCCCGAACCUCCAGACUCAGAAACAGCUUUAUCCCCAGAGCUAUAGCGGCUCUGAACCGGCCCUGCUGAGUGCCCACCACCUCCCCUGGACUGUCUCCCUCGGAUGGUCACGUCACACAGUUUAUUUAUUCAUUUUACUUUUCUUUUACAUCGGUUGGAAGCUGCACACUAAAUCUCGUUGCACUGACGUGCAAUGACAAUAAAAUAUAUUAUUAUUUUUGUUACCUUAUGACGUGAAUGGAACAGCGAUUAAGAACGAAAAGUUAUGAGUUACUUCUUUGUUUUGUAUUACUUCAAUUAACGACUAAUUAAUCAAGAAACGAUGCCUGGAAGAUUCAACUUUGCUGUCUUAUGUGUGUCGUGAGUGUGUUAGGCUAUACUUUCAAGUCUCCAAUGAUGAAUGGCUAUCAAAAUUAGAUUUUGAGAACGUUGUAAAAACCGCCAAUAUAGAACAUAUUCUGCAAAUGAUAGGUUUUCUGCCGUUGGGAGAUCCAGCUCCAUGCUCCCCAUAACCCCUGAUGCCCUUACUAAUCAAGAACCAAUCCAUCUUUGCUUUAAAGAUACCCAAUGACUUUGCCUCCACAGCUAUCUGAGGCAAUGAAUUCCACAGAUUCACCACCUUCUGACUGAAGCAAUUCCUCCUAAUCUCUUUCCUAAAGGUACGUCCUUUCAUUCUGAAGCUGUGCCCUCUGGUUCUCUGCUCUCGUCCAAGUGGAAACAUUCUCUCCACAUCCAUUGUCCAGGCCUUUCACCAUUCGAUAGGUUUCAAUGAGGACCCGCCCCCCACAUCUUUCUAAACUCCAGCAAGUACAAGCCCAAAGUGGUUAAACACUAAUCUUAUGUUAACUCAAUCAUCCCCAGGAUCAUUCUCGUGAACCUCUUCUGGACCCUCUCCAAGAGCAGCACAUCCCUCCUCAGAUAUGGGGCCCAAACCUGCACACAAUACUCCAAAUGUGGUCUGACCUGUGCCUUAUAAACAUUACAUCGCUGCUUUUAUAUUCUAGCCCUCUUGAAAUAAAUGCCAACAUUCAAUUUGCCUUCCUUACUACCGAUUUAAUUUGCAAACUAACCGUUUGGGUAUCCUACACCAGCACUCCCAUGUCCCUUUGCACUACCAAUUUCUAAAAUCUCUCCCCAUUUGGAAAAUAUUCUCUGCCUUUAUUCCUCCUACCAAAGUGCAUAACUGUACACUUUGCGACACUGUAUUCCAUCUGCCACUUCAUCGCCCACUCUCCCAACCUCUCCAAGUCCUUUUGCAGACUCACCACUUCCUCUACACUACCUGUCUCUCAUUCUAUCUUCAUAUCAUCCACAAACUUCUUGCAAAAAGAACAUAAUUUUAUUCACACAUGAAUUACUUAAAUUUAAUUCUGAACACCAUUUUGUAAAUGAUGUGUUAAUCACAUCAAAUGUUGUUUGCAUUAUAGAAUAGAGCUUCCACCAUUGCUGAACAUCCAUUGCAGCUGAACAUCCAGGGAUAUUCAAUAUUCAGGAGGGAUAGAGAGAAAGGAAAACGAGGUGGGGUAGCGUUACUGAUUAGAGAGGAGAUUAAUGCAAUGGAAAGGAAGGACAUUAGUUUGGAGGAUGUGGAAUCGGUAUGGGUAGAGCUGCGAAACACUAAGGGGCAGAAAACGCUGGUGGGUGUUGUGUACAGGCCACCUAACAGUAGUAGUGAAGUUGGAGAUGGUAUCAAACAGGAAAUUAGAAAUGCGUGCGACAAAGGCAAAACAGUUAUAAUGGUGACUUCAAUCUACAUAUAGAUUGGGUGAAUCAAAUUGGCAGGGGUGCUGAGGAAGAGGAUUUCUUGGAAUGUAUGCGGGAUAGUUAUCUAAAUCAACAUGUAGAGGAACCAACAAGAGAGCAGGCUAUUUUAGACUGGGUAUUGAGUAAUGAGGAAGGGUUAGUUAGCAAUCUUGUUGUACGUGCCCCCUUGGGCAAGAGUGACCAUAAUAUGGUUGAGUUCUUCAUUAGGAUGGAGAGUGACAUUGUUAAUUCAGAAACAAUGGUUCUGAACUUAAAGAAAGGUAACUUUGAGGGAAUGAGACGUGAAUUGGCCAAGAUUGACUGGCAAUUAAUUCUAAAAGGGUUGACAGUGGAUAUGCAAUGGAAGACAUUUAAAGACUGCAUGGAUGAACUACAAAAAUUGUUCAUCCCAAUUUGGCAAAAGAAUAAAUCAGGGAAGGUAGUACAUCCGUAGAUAACAAGGGAAAUCAGGGAUAGUAUCAAAACGAAGGAUGAUGCGUACAAAUUAGCCAGAAAAAGCUACUGGGAGAAAUUCAGAGACCAGCAGAGGAGGACAAAGGGCUUAAUUAGGAAAGGAAAAAUAGAUUAUGAAAGAAAACUGGCAGGGAACAUAAAAACUGACUGCAAAAGUUUUUAUAGAUAUGUGAAAAGAAAGAGAUUAGUUAAAACAAAUGUAGGUCGCUUGCAGUCAGAAACAGGUGAGUUGAUCAUGGGGAACAAGGAUAUGGCGGACCAAUUGAAUAACUACUUUGGUUCCGUCUUCACUAAGGAAGACAUAAAUAAUUUGCCGGAAAUAGCAGGGGGCCGUGGGAGUUGGAGGAAUUGAGUGAAAUCCAGGUUAGCCGGGAAGUGGUGUUGGGUAAAUUGAAUGGAUUAAAGGCCGAUAAAGCCCCAGGGCCAGAUAGGCUGCAUCCCAGAGUACUUAAGGAAGUAGCUCCAGAAAUAGUGGAUGCAUUAGUAAUAAUCUUUCAAAACUCUUUAGAUUCUGGAGUAGUUCCUGAGGAUUGGCGGGUAGCAAACGUAACCCCACUUUUUAACAAGGGAGGGAGAGAGAAAACGGGGAAUUACAGACCAGUUAGUCUAACAUCGGUAGUGGGGAAACUGCUAGAGUCAGUUAUUAAAGAUGGGAUAGCAGCACAUUUGGAAAGUGGUGAAAUCAUUGGACAAAGUCAGCAUGGAUUUACGAAAGGUAAAUCAUGUCUGACGAAUCUUAUAGAAUUUUUCGAGGAUGUAACUAGUAGCGUGGAUAGCGGAGAACCAGUGGAUGUGGUGUAUCUGGACUUCCAGAAGGCUUUUGACAAGGUCCCACAUAAGAGAUUAGUAUACAAACUUAAAGCACACGGCAUUGGGGGUUCAGUAUUGAUGUGGAUAGAGAACUGGCUGGCAAACAGGAAGCAAAGAGUAGGAGUAAACGGAUCCUUUUCACAAUGGCAGGCAGUGACUAGUGGGGUGCCGCAAGGCUCAGUGCUGGGACCCCAGCUAUUUACAAUAUAUAUUAAUGAUCUGGAUGAGGGAAUUGAAGGCAAUAUCUCCAAGUUUACAGAUGACACUAAGCUGGGGGGCAGUGUUAGCUGUGAGGAGUAUGCUAGGAGACUGCAAGGUGACUUGGAUAGGCUGGGUGAGUGGGCAAAUGUUUGGCAGAUGCAGUAUAAUGUGCAUAAAUGUGAGGUUAUCCAUUUUGGUGGCAAAAACGGGAAAGCAGACUAUUAUCUAAAUGGUGGCCGAUUGGGAAAGGGGGAGAUGCAGCGAGACCUGGGGGUCAUGGUACACCAGUCAUGGAAAGUAGGCAUGCAGGUGCAGCAGGCAGUGAAGAAAGCGAAUGGUAUGUUAGCUUUCAUUGCAAAAGGAUUUGAGUAUAGGAGCAGAGAGGUUCUACUGCAGUUGUACAGGGUCUUGGUGAGACCACACCUGGAGUAUUGCGUACAGUUUUGGUCUCCAAAUCUGAGGAAGGACAUUUUUGCCAUAGAGGGAGUGCAGAGACGGUUCACCAGACUGUUUCCUGGGAUGUCAGGACUGUCUUAUGAAGAAAGACUGGAUAGACUUGGUUUAUACUCUCUAGAAUUUAGGAGACUGAGAGGGGAUCUUAUAGAAACUUACAAAAUUCUUAAGGGGUUGGACAGGCUAGAUGCAGGAAGGUUGUUCCCGAUGUUGGGGAAGUCCAGGACAAGGGGUCACAGCUUAAGGAUAAGGGGGAAAUCCUUUAAAACCGAGAUGAGAAGAACUUUUUUCACAUAGAGAGUGGUGAAUCUCUGGAACUCUCUGCCACAGAGGGUAGUUGAGGCCAGUUCAUUGGCCAUAUUUAAGAGGGUUAGAUGUGGCCCUUGUGGCUAAUGGGAUCAGGGGGUAUGGAGAGAAGGCAGGUACGGGAUACCGAGUUGGAUGAUCAGCCAUGAUCAUAUUGAAUGGCAGUGCAGGCUCAAAGGGCCGAAUGGCCUACUCCUGCACCUAAUUUCUAUGUUUCUAUGUUUCUAUUGUGGGUACCCAAUAAUUGAUGUAACCUGCCACCAGAGCAGAGCCUGUGCUGCCAUGGUGCACCGAAGUGGAGAAGCAGCUGCUGGAGGCGACAGACGGCGGGUUUGCAGUGGUCAUGUGUCAUGGUGUUGGCAGAGGUGAACCUACAGUAGUCGGGUGAUCGGGUAGAUGGUGCACAGCCAGCGGUAGCUGUGUGAAUCGGCAAUGGAAGGAGCUGAGCUAUGGCAUCACAUUGGGACAGGCCAACCUCUACAUAAUCGAUCCAGUGCUGUCAGGAAACGGGUCAAGUGAGAAUAAAAUAAAUUACAUAUCUCCUUAGGACAAGAAUGGACUUUUCAGAGAUUUGGAAAUUGCACAAUCGUGCCAGAUCGUGCCAACUUUCACAGGAUUUAUUCUAUCUAUAAUAUUAUUUGACUGAACAAUACGUGGUAUAAGCUUUUCAGUGCAUCUGUGUACAUGUGACAAUAAACUAAACUAAUUGGGGCCUCAGUGCUGGUCUAUGUUUCUAUGUUCUAUGAUGUGGGCCUGGGAGAACUCACUUACUCUUACAGUGAAUGUAGGCACAGCUUGGGUGGUAUCUUUCCAAUGUCUUGAGGUGGCUGCUGGAUAUAGGCAUGUGUCCAGUGACUUUUACAACCCUCUACAGAUGCAUCAUAGAAACCAUACUGUUGUGUUGCAGCAUAUCUUGGUUUGAGUACAGCUCUGCCAAGACAGCAAGAAAUUGCAGAUUUGUAGAUGUAGCCCAGUUCAUCACACAGACCACACUUUCUACUAUAGACACCAUCCAACUUCACACUGCCUCAGAAAAGCAGCCAAUAAUUUGAAAGACAUCCCACCCCAGUUAUUCCUUCUUCUCCCUGUUCCCGUCCAACAGAAGGUACACGGCCAUGCUGAGGAACAGCUUCUUUCCCUCAGUUAUCAGGCUUCUGAAUGGUCCUUCCAUAAGCUAGGGUACAGUUCAAUACACCUCUAUCCCAUUGAAGAAAUGAAACUCAAGUGCUACAAUGCUAUGAACUACAUUCUGCACUCCGUAUCUUCCCCUUUGCUCUAUCUAUUGUGCAUGAGUUUGAACUGAUUAUAUUUAUGUACAAUAUAUCUGAUCUGAUAGCCUGCAAAACAAGGCUCUUCAAUAAGAGGUGACUCCUGAGAUACACGGAAUGUUUCUUGUUUUCCACAGUUUCACCAUGAUUAUCAGAGGAUGAUGUUGUGCAGUGGGUGCUUGUUGAUGGAGAAAAUAUACUUUGCAGAUAUUGGCUCUAUAUGCUUCAAUAAAUGAGCUGAUAAUGGUUGAGAACUUAGUCUCUAAACACACACAACUGCAAGCAUUGACUGCAUGCUGCUGUUCAACGACUAAAGUAAGGAUGACCUUUGUUUGGGUGUUCGUUUGCUGAAGGUUGAACAAUUUUCCAUUGAUUCUGAACGUGAGCUCCACUGCCAUUGUCAGAGGCUAAUUGCAGCAUUGCAUUGAGAAAGACUGGAAAACAAUAUUGGGGCAAUGUUUGAUAAUGUGGCAUUGGUUAGGAUCAUGGGUUGCUUGUCAUCAUGAAGCAAAAUGUCAGAUGAGGCUGUUAUUGGUAUUGGUUUACUAUCAUCUGUACUGAGAAACAGUGAAAAACUUUGUUUUGCAUGGUAUCCAGGCAAAUCACACCAGACACGAAUACAUCAGAUAAUGUAAAAGAGAAUACAGCAUUACAGUUACAGAGAAAGUGCAAUUAAGUGCAAGGGCAACAAUGAGGUAAAUAGAUUGGGAGAACGGGAAUAUAUCCUAAGCAUGAUAGGUCAUUUCAAAAGUCUGAGAACAGCAUGGACAUAGCUGCUCUUAAAUCUGGUGAUACAUGCUUCAUGUUUU